rnacentral:rRNA from 1 species
GAAUUUAAACAUAGUUUUAUUAAAAAGAGUUUUUAAUAGUCUUUAUAUAUUUAAUUAUAUAAAAUGAUGUAAUAUAGAAGAAAUUUUUUUUUAAAUUCAUUAAUAUGAAAAAAGUUAUUAAUUUUAAAUUUGGCGAUGCUUGUGCCAGCCGCCGCGGUUAUACAGGCAAAUUAAUUUUUUUCUUUUUAUUAAGAAAAAAAUAAUUAAUAAAAUAAGAAUUUUUAUAGGUGAAAUUAAAAAAUUUCAAUGUGGUUUUAU